UAAACCAAAAAGGAAAAACAAAAACUUGUUUCUUUCAAACUCUCUCACGCGAUUCACACCGUUUCUCCCAAACACUUUCUUCUGAUUCACGAACGCUCGCGGAAGCUUUGUGUCGCAACGCAACAGCCAUCGUCGUCCUCGCCAAUCGUUCGUCAAUCUCGACCAUUGUGAAGCAACCUUCGCCGCCGUCGAGCGACCACCGCUCCAUCUCCAUCGCAGCCACACACCACGCCUCGCCGGAUCUGUUCUGCCACUCGUUGGAUUUGCUCCAUUUGAUCGCAAUUCUAGAUCCAUUUUCUACCAAUUGAACACAUAGGUUAAACCUUGUGAAGCAGGCUUAUCUUCUUCGCUUUGAUGAUCAACUAUGGCUUUUGGUGGCAUGGAAUUUGAAUCUGAAGUUGUCUGCAACCGAAUCACAAGGAAGUUGUUGCACACUCAGAGUGUGCUCCAUCUCCGCUCGUAAACGUCGCGUUCGUCACUGGGCGUUGGAAGAUCCGAACGGAAAAAGUUCCAAAUCAUCAUCAUCAAAGCCAAGAGUUGGAUCGCCGGGAGAAAGUUCGGCCUGUGGCAUCUCAACGACUGCGGCAAAUCAUCUUCAUCGACAUUCUAGUUCUUCCACUUGUGAGGUUCAAAGGUUUUGGUCAAGCAACCAAGAAGGUAAGCCACGAUUAAUAUACUAUAUAGUGUUUUGAAUGUUUUCAUUAAGUAAAUAUUCCAUAGAUGCAGCUUUUUUAAUUUGUUCCCAUAGACAUCCUGUGUUUUGAGAUACCUUAUGCAAGUUCUAGUUUCAUUUGGCACUACUAAAUACUAAUCAUUGCAAUAUGUUGUUUCUAUCUAUCUUUUGCUUCUCCAUUGUUAGAUCUGUUUUAAUUUGAUGCUACAUAGUUUGAUUUAUAAUGAUUUCUCUUCCUAUCUAGUAGAAGGAAAAGAAACUGCUAGUGGUUUCAGAUGAAAUCUAGAUAAAAAGAAGUCCAGGAUUAGGUCAUGAAUUAUCUUAUUCGAAUUCAAUAAUGGCAAUAGUUGAAAACAAAGAGUUAUCUGCUCAUCAGCAAAGCCUCUGAUGUAAGCUUCUCUGCUCUCUCAUCUCAUUUAAUUGCCACUUGCUUGUGUUGUCAUUCCAAUUUCAUGUGAUUUUAAUGACAGUAGAUUUGAUUUAGAAAUGAUUCUUAUUGAACUUUAUUCACUAUCAUGUUGUUUACUUGUUAUGUUCCAAGUAAGAAGCUUCAUUAGUGCUAACUCUCUCUUCCCAUUGGCCCCAAACAAACCAUAUUACUUCCAGUGAGAUAUUCUCACUGAUGCAUUCUUUGGAAGGCCUAAAACAUCACGGUCCUGCUGAAGCAGUAUGGCUAACUAAAAGAUCUUUCUUAUGACAUUCUUUUUCUAUUUAUUCAACGGUUAGUCAGCAAUAGACAUAUCAAUAUAACUCCUUCCAUGUCUGGACUGUUUAUAUAUUUGAUAAAAGAAAGUAGGAGAACUCAACCCAUAAUGCUAAUGUCUAACACAUAACUUCCUCUAUGUUUAUGAUGCAGGAGCCUGUUGCAAAGAACCUGCUUCUGAGAUCCUUCCAAUACCAAUUUUGACAAAGUACUUGCUAGGAAAGACAUAUAGUGAGCAAAGCUGAUGAGAACCCCUUUUUGCUUUCAAUGCUAUUUUUCAUUUCUUAGGUAUUGAUAUAGUUCGUUUUUUUUUGUUUAUAAGAAUAAUUCUUUGAAGAGAGAUUAUUGAAGGGAACAUUGUAGUUGUUUGUGUUCUACUAUGCUUUUGAGGCUAUGUAGUUUCAAGCAAAAAAUUUCAUGUGGCAAUUUUAACAGAUACUAGAUUAUAGCAAUCUUUUAUGUGUUUAGUUUUGGUAA